rnacentral:rRNA from 1 species
CGUAGGGUGCAAGCGUUAAUCGGAAUUACUGGGCGUAAAGCGUACGCAGGCGGCUUUGCAAGACAGGUGUGAAAUCCCCGGGCCUAACCUGGGAACUGCAUUUGUGACUGCAUGGCUAGAGUUUGUCAGAGGGGGGUGGAAUUCCACGUGUAGCAGUGAAAUGCGUAGAUAUGUGGAGGAACACCGAUGGCGAAGGCAGCCCCCUGGGAUGUGACUGACGCUCAUGUACGAAAGCGUGGGGAGCAAACAGGAUUAGAUACCCUGGUAGUCCACGCCCUAAACGAUGUCGACUAGUUGUCGGAGGGUAACUCCUUCGGUAACGCAGCUAACGCGUGAAGUCGACCGCCUGGGGAGUACGGUCGCAAGAUUAA